rnacentral:tRNA from 1 species
CCCACUCUUGCGCAUGUGGUCUGCGCGCUCGACUGAAACUCGAGAGGUCCUGGUUCGAUUCCAGGGGGUGGGA